rnacentral:lncRNA from 1 species
AGAGGCAAUCUCUCGUGGGGAGAGCGAAAUGCACGCAUUUGGGGAUUGUACCAUCUGGGAAGACAAGCUUCUUCAGAAGAUCGAAGUCGUGGCCUCCUAAAGAGUCACUCACGUAAACUGGGCCGCCGCAAAUAGCUCGUGAUCCGGCGUGGAAUUUCGCGCAACAAUGGUCGGAUUGAAACAUGUCCCAAUCUGGUUGGAUGAAUUGUCCCAUCCACAUACUGUUGUAGGCGCAGUGGAUCAUGUGGACCCCUUGCAGCCAGUAAACUCCCAUCGGAUCGCCGUUUGGAUCUUGGAACCAAAAGUCAUCCCCUAUUUCAAACAACAACAAAAAUUAUCUCUCGAUAAAAAAGAAAAGAAAAGAAAGAAUUAAUUAAUUGAAAAGAUGGAUUCUCACCGACUCUUCCCAUUGAGAUCUGCUCGGUUCCGAGGAAGAAGAAGUCAUUACACUGCUGCAUGCUGGAGAUGAGACCAGUUCCAUUGAAAUUCUUCUUUAGAGAUUUGGACAAGCCCUUGUAAUAAGCCUUCGCGAG